CACAUACUUUAAAAAAUGGUUUCUAUAAAGUUCCUGGUCAUGAUCGGAGUGAUAACGGCGCUGUGUCAGGUCAGCGCUACGCCCCUCCCGCUGCCGCAGAGUUACACUGAUCAGGCGCUCUACUACCCGUACAUCGGAUGGUGGGGACUUCAAGGAUCUGCAUCUGGAGCUGACCAAGAUAAUGACGCGGACUUUUUCGAGCGUAAUCGUAGGUUUGGAUAUUCUUCCGUUCUAGGCUGAAGGCUGGAAUGAGGAGAAAAUAAAUUUAGAUUUUGGCUGGAAGACUUGCUAAGCACUCUUGGUUACUAAAAAUUACGUGAAUUGUUACCUAUUACGGUACAAAAUCGAACGAAAUUUUCAUUUUAUCAUUCUACGAAUACUACUGCGAAUGCGAAUUAUUUUUUUCCAUACUCGCUCACAAAGAAGUACUUACAUAUAAACAUUCGAUGACGUAUUAUAUUUUUGAGGAUCAUUUGUUUGCGUCAAAUAUUUGUUAUGUCAUAAAUUAUUAAAUACAAGAACACUUUUGUGAACUACGUGUGCAUACAAAGUUCAUAUAGUUUUACAAUAAGUGAAAUGAGUUUUGUUUCCAAUUUUAAUAGAUAAGUAUUUCCCUCUUAUUUUAUUCUGCUAAUUACUUUUGCAUCCUCAAUUUUAGCCAAUCCAAUAACCGGAUUAAUAUCACACGCAAAUGAAAAUGACAAUAAAAAUAAUAUUAAUGUCCACAUAUACUCAGACACAACCAUA